rnacentral:lncRNA from 1 species
CUAGCUCGAAAUUAACCUGUCCGACGAUUUCGCCUUGGACUCCGACACAGUUGCACACGAGUCAUCGAUUGGAUGGGAGAACAACAUUCUUGUCUUGUAAAGUAGAUUAAUCUUGAUGGGGUCAUUCAAACUCACCCGAUGAUCUCGACGAUCACCCCUACAUGGUGUGACAGAUGUCGGUGUUUUAUACCCGGCAACCUACCGAAGGGUAUCCCGAGGUAGUAGAUUGGUUUGUGGGGGAUCGCCGGACCUGGAACUCGAAGGUAAUAGUAAGGACACAAGACACAUAUUUAUACAGGCUCAGGCCGCCAGAGUAGCGUAAUACCCUACGUCCUGUUUGGGGUGUUGUAUAUUGCGCCCUAUGCUUAGGUGUUGUUUGGUGUUGAGGAUUUGGUCCUUUGUUGUGGUUGUAUGAGAUUUUCACCUACCGAUCUAGGGACCCCUGCCCUCCUUUAUAUACUCCAGGGAGCGGGAUCACUAGUCGAUUACAAGGAGUUCUAAUAGAAUUACAUGGUAUGAAUUCUAGUAGGAUUACAGAGGAAUCCUAGUAGGAGUCCAUCUUCUUCUUUCCUUGAUCUAUCCCCAACAGAUCCACCCC